GUGAGAGGCAACAGCACGAGCCGGAGGCACAGCCCAUUUCUAUAAAACGAAGUGGUUCUAAUCCAGUAUAUGUUACUGGGCUAUUCCCCCUACGGCCCCGACGAUUCCGCUGAAAGGUACAAAGAAUAGGGGUCGUGUAACAUUGGUGGAUGAUGCUGGCGAGAAAAGGAAAACCAACGAAAUCUAGACGCUGACGGUUCAAACGCGAGGAAAGAAUAAAGAAACGCCCGACGACGACGCGACGCGAAGUCGAAACAUUAUAGACAUUCUAUCUAUCUAUCUGCUCUGUUUCAGGAAGUAAAGAAAUGAAUAAAGAAUCGAGUGUUGUUGUUUUGAAUUCUGACCUGGAGAGCCUAUCAUUUUCUGUCCCAUCAGCAAGUGUACAUUCUGUGUGUGAGAGCAUGGUGAGAGGCAACAGCACGAGCCGGAGGCACAGCUUUUAAUACAUUUUUAUAAAACGAAGAAGUUAUUGUUGUGGUUCUAAUCUAAUAUAUGUUACUGGGCUAUUCCCCCUACGGCCCCGACGAUUCCGCUGAAAGAUACAAAGAAUAGGGGUCGUGUAACAAUAGAAUUCAACCUAUACAUGAUGUGGUUAAAUUUGAGGCAGUCCACGUGGGUACUCCUGAACAGAGGUUUUGGGACGCCAUCGAGAACUCUGACACAUCAUUCUUGGACGAACAGUAACAAAAUAAUAUAGACGGAUCAUAACAUAUAAUAGCGUAGUAAUACAUGUAUAAUAAUAUAGACGGAUCAUAACUUUUAUCGUAGUAAAAUUAAAUGAAAAAUGUCAAUUUA